rnacentral:rRNA from 1 species
UGAGUGAUGAAGGCCCUAGGGUUGUAAAGCUCUUUCACCGGUGAAGAUAAUGACGGUAACCGGAGAAGAAGCCCCGGCUAACUUCGUGCCAGCAGCCGCGGUAAUACGAAGGGGGCUAGCGUUGUUCGGAAUUACUGGGCGUAAAGCGCACGUAGGCGGAUCGGUCAGUUAGGGGUGAAAUCCCAGGGCUCAACCCUGGAACUGCCUUUAAUACUGCCGGUCUGGAGUUCGAGAGAGGUGAGUGGAAUUCCGAGUGUAGAGGUGAAAUUCGUAGAUAUUCGGAGGAACACCAGUGGCGAAGGCGGCUCACUGGCUCGAUACUGACGCUGAGGUGCGAAAGCGUGGGGGGCAAACAGGAUUAGAUACCCUGGUAGUCCACGCCGUAAACUA